CAAAACAAAACUUUGGUGAUGAGGAUGGCUUCUUUGAAAAGAAAAUACAUUUCUUCCCCAAGUAUCUAUUAAUGCUUGGCUUAAUAGAAAACAGCUGGAUUUUCACAUAUGCUUCUGCAUUUAAUCAGUUGUGAUAUGUUGUUUUGGUUGUAGUAUAUAAAGAAAAUAGAGCUUCUGUACCCAGAUAUGUAGUUAGAAAGGGAGAAGUAUUUUAAGAGCCUUUUCAGGUAGUUGUAGGUAUUCUUACCUGAUAAUCAUCAAACUCAAGUUGUCAUUUUUAAAAAGGUUGUUGCAGUGUGGGAUUGGGAAACCUCAUCGAACUUUUGUGCUCUGUUUAAUUCAAACCUGUUGCUUUAUCUUGUUCUUUGAAUGGUCUUUUACCCAUGUAUAAUUUUGUAACAUCAUGCAUGGAUUAUUUGGAACAUAUUGGCUCACUGAUUUGUAUAGAUCUUCCAAAUGUGGGCACAUUUCAUUGUAAAUGUAAAAAAGGGAAAAGCACAUAUGCUAAUAUCAUCUUGAGCUCAGCAGAAAAGUCUUUAAAUACUGGGAAGCUACCAAGUUCAUAGUAGCAGAAACAAGUUAUUUAAAAUAUUUAUUUUUACUUGAAAGCUUGAAUUUUAUCACCGAAAAUACAUACUGUUAAUUGUUUUUCCAAAAGGGUCUCGGUAUCCCACUGGGGCCAUAGGCCACACUUUGAGGGUCACUGGCGUAAGAGCUUAGAUUGGGGAGAAGCAAGUUGGAAAACAUUUGUCUAAAGGUCCAAACAAAUUAAUUUUCAGGGUGCUGAAGGAACUUGAAGACGAGGUCUCAGAAUCACUAGCAGUGGGGGAAUGGGAGAGAGUUCAGACAUGUAGGAAUGAGAAAAGACUGCCUUGCCUCUCCAGAGGGAUGUAUUCUGGGUAACUCUGAUUCCCAGAAAAAGACUAUGGGAUAUUCCGUAGCAGGUAGCUUAAGAUUACAAAAUAAUUCUGUGAUUGCCAGAUGUGGUGAAGGCUAGGAGGUCAUCUCAAAUAUCGUUUUUUCUUUCUGAUCAUGUGACACAAUGUGUCACAUGGUAUAUACACUGAGCUAUUUGAAUAACUACAUAAAGACAGUUGAAGAGUAAUUUGUGUGGGUACUGCUUGUACAAAAUGGCACAUGUUGCUUUUGAUCAGAAAAUCAAACAUAAAGAAAUUAUACAUAAUAUAAUUUCUCAUAAAAGAAAAUUUAUAGAAUACCUACCAUAUGCAAAAUGUGGUGUUGGGAAAAUGGCAGCUCUGAGGGGCACAUAUGAGGAAGUAGCAUGGCAUUAUGGGAAGAUCAUAGCAUUAGGAGUCGGGACACUUGAAAAUGUGUUCAUCCUGGUUUUCCACCAACUCAGUGGCUGCCCUUGGGCAAGUGACUUCGAUUCUAGACCUACGCUUGAUAUCUGUCAUAUUAAAGAAGUUAAGGCCUCUGAAAGGGAUGGAGUUGUGCUCUCUUAUGCCAUGGAGCGUAACCAGAGUUGACAAAUGGGAUUUUGGAGAUGUCAGUUUGCCUUACGGUGGCUAACUUCCUAUCUCCGUGAGGUCCAUUACUGAAGCCACUAGCCUCACAUGGCUAUUGAGCACUCAAACUAGGACUAGUCUAAAUUGCGAUUUGCUCUCAGUGUAAGUUACACACCAGAUUUUGAAGACUUCAUAUGAAAAAUAGAAUGUAAAAUAUCCCAUCAGUAAUUUUCAUAUUAAUUUCAUGUUACAAAAGAUAAGUUUUGGAUGCAUUGGGCUAUGUUAAAGUAUUAAAUUAAUUUCAUCGGUAUUUUUAAAAAAUACCUGGCUACUAGAGAGCUUAAAAUUACAUAGAUGGCUCACGUUAUAUUUCUUUUAGACAGUGCUGUUCUAGCUAACAGAGUUUCCAACAAAAGAACAGUAACUUGAAGAAGAACAUAAAUUUACGUUUAAUUUUACUUUUUGAGGUUUGCAAGCAGAACCCGGGUCACAGUUUUGAGAAGACAGCCUCACAGAAGACUGCGUGUGCUAUGCAGCUGGGCUAUACUGGGUUCUCCAUCUGCACUUGGAUCUUCAAAGAUUAUUGUUUGGAUGACCAUGCAGGCGCAGAGAACUGAGACAGUGAUGUUAGGAAGCUGGUGAAAACGCUCCCCUAUUUAUUUCUGCCUGCUUGUCUGUGACCGGUGUUUCACAAAAGGAGUGAGAAAUUAGUAACCACAUGCUGGGUAAGAUGUUCACGAGAAGGUCAGGAAGCUUGUUUGUCAACCUUAAUUGACAACUGAUGUUUAAAAGGCGAAGCAUCAUUCUCGUAAUUUAAUGGGAGAAAUUGCUAUUUAGUGUCAGAGGGGGAAGAGCUACCAUAUGCAAAAGCCUGUGGAAAUGAGAAAGACGGACAAAAUAAUCCCCUUUUUGUUUUAGGAAAACGUAAAGUGGUGCCCCAGGGAUUGUUGGCAAAUAUUAUCAUCUUUGAAAGCUACUACUUAACACAAAUUCCGGGAAACCAGAGGCUUCUGGGUAAUGUGAAUCACAAGGAAAGAAUGCCCCGUUUUGUGGCUGAAACUUUUUAAUGGAAUACUGGUUGAUCUUAGCGAAGAAGGCCAGGGGUCAGGGUCAGUUUGGGAGAAUUUUCUGCCUGUUUCUGUAGAGGCCCCUACAUAAAACACUUCUUUCUCGGCCUGAUUGAAAUGUUUCAUGUGAUCACCUACCCGUGGGAGCCACUCACAUCUCCAGAGAUAUGCUUCCUCCUUUUUCCCUAUGUUGCCUAACUUGAGAUAGAGCUUAAUAGGGCUCUACUCAUUCUUUAAAUGAACAUUUAUUAAGCACUGGUUGCCUCCAUGCCUCCUGUAUUUGACGAUCUUGAUUUAGAGAUGGUGUAUCUGAGACAGGAUCCCCUUAGCCAAACAGAAUCACUCUACGUUUUAAACCAGAGGGCAUUUACUACAGGGAAUUGGUUACCUGAUGAGGGGGAAACUGAGAUGCCAAAGUGGGUGGUAAGGCCACCCAGUGGUUAUCGUAAGAGCAGGCAACUGCUUCGGCCCCAGGGCUGCAGAGGGCCGGGGGGAACGAUUGGGGGGGAUUGUUGUGGGGUGUCCAGGAGCAUCACAGAAAGCUGAGAGGAGGGGAGAGAGAUCCUGACUCCUUUGGGUUUCUAGCUUUCUAAUCUUUCACUGGUGUCUCCACAGGCCAAACCCACCCAGAACUGGAGGAAAGGGAGGAAGAAGUUCCUCGUAAUACAGAGUACAGCACUAGGAGAGAGAUGGGUGUGGCUGCAUGUCCUUAUUCCAAUCUAAGCAAUGUGUGCAGAAGUGAAUCGUGCUUCAUUUUGGUGAGAUGGGGCCUUUGGGACCUACCCUGUGCUGGGCUUUAUGCUUUUCCUCUUCCUGGCUGACUGGGUUGAGACCUUGGAAACCAAGUCAGGAAGAUGCUGGAGCUGCCAUCAGCACAGGCCUCCCUACUGUCUGGAAACAUACCCUGGACCAUAUGUGAGCCAGAAAUAAACAUUUCUUAAUGUGAGCCCUUGUGUAUAUGAAUCUAUCAGCAUAGCUCAGCUACCCUAAUCAUAAUCGUAGUGACAUAAGAGGUUGGUGUAAGUAAAUGAAAGUUUGAGCUGGGGCCAUAGAAGUGAGGAUGGAGAAGCAGGAGGAGAGGGAGUAAAUGGCUGUUUAGAAGACAGAAAAAACAGGUGCUGGAAAGUGGUUGGCUUCGUGGGUGAGAGCGGUCCAGCAUGGCUCCUGAUUCCUGCCUUGGGUGACUGGUCAGAUGAUGGUAACAUUCCAUGAUGGAACCAGAAGAGGAGCAGGAUGUUUGGUGUUAGGGGUAUGGACCUGAUUUAGUGAAGGUCUGGGAUUUAGACAUUUGGGAGACGAUAAACUUAUGAAGGUAUGAAAUGAUUCAUUUAAGCAUAGA